GAUGAACGCUGGCGGCGUGCUUAACACAUGCAAGUCGAACGGUGAAGCAGAGCUUGCUCUGUGGAUCAGUGGCGAACGGGUGAGUAACACGUGAGCAAUCUGCCCCUGACUCUGGGAUAAGCGCUGGAAACGGCGUCUAAUACCGGAUACGAGCUGCGAAGGCAUCUUCAGCAGCUGGAAAGAAUUUCGGUCAGGGAUGAGCUCGCGGCCUAUCAGCUUGUUGGUGAGGUAACGGCUCACCAAGGCGUCGACGGGUAGCCGGCCUGAGAGGGUGACCGGCCACACUGGGACUGAGACACGGCCCAGACUCCUACGGGAGGCAGCAGUGGGGAAUAUUGCACAAUGGGCGAAAGCCUGAUGCAGCAACGCCGCGUGAGGGACGACGGCCUUCGGGUUGUAAACCUCUUUUAGCAGGAAAGAAGCGAAAGUGACGGUACCUGCAGAAAAAGCGCCGGCUAACUACGUGCCAGCAGCCGCGGUAAUACGUAGGGCGCAAGCGUUAUCCGGAAUUAUUGGGCGUAAAGAGCUCGUAGGCGGUCUGUCGCGUCUGCUGUGAAAACCCGAGGCUCAACCUCGGGCCUGCAGUGGGUACGGGCAGACUAGAGUGCGGUAGGGGAGAUUGGAAUUCCUGGUGUAGCGGUGGAAUGCGCAGAUAUCAGGAGGAACACCGAUGGCGAAGGCAGAUCUCUGGGCCGUAACUGACGCUGAGGAGCGAAAGGGUGGGGAGCAAACAGGCUUAGAUACCCUGGUAGUCCACCCCGUAAACGUUGGGAACUAGUUGUGGGGUCCAUUCCACGGAUUCCGUGACGCAGCUAACGCAUUAAGUUCCCCGCCUGGGGAGUACGGCCGCAAGGCUAAAACUCAAAGGAAUUGACGGGGACCCGCACAAGCGGCGGAGCAUGCGGAUUAAUUCGAUGCAACGCGAAGAACCUUACCAAGGCUUGACAUAUACGAGAACGCUGCAGAAAUGUAGAACUCUUUGGACACUCGUAAACAGGUGGUGCAUGGUUGUCGUCAGCUCGUGUCGUGAGAUGUUGGGUUAAGUCCCGCAACGAGCGCAACCCUCGUUCUAUGUUGCCAGCACGUAAUGGUGGGAACUCAUGGGAUACUGCCGGGGUCA
rnacentral:rRNA from 1 species